UGGGCCUUUCCAACUCUGAGUGUGACCUUCC
rnacentral:piRNA from 1 species